AAUAUUACGCUACAGUGCUACUGGCCCAUAAUCAGGCAACUGCAGAGUCUUAGGGGGUUAUCUAAUGUAGUCUUGGGGUGGCUGGAUAGACUUCCCAAAGAAGGUGAUGCCGAAGCUGAGGUCGGAAAUUACGAAGAUCAGCUAUGGCGUCUCAGGGUCUUGACCACCUCAAGCCAGGUGAGACACCUUACAGGAUGUCUCCUAAGCUGAUCAGUCUAUGAACAUUUAGUGACCUACAGAAUCUCCCUGUGACAUCUGUUCACUGGGCAACAGCAGCUCACAGGAAGGCCUGAGGAGAGAAGACACAUAGUCAUGCUGACUAAACCAGAUCACCUAGAAUUACCAAAUGGAAAGAUUGUGCCUGCAGCCUGGCCUGUUGCCCACAGCGGUCUACCUGCCACACUGGGAAAGAUCGAGCAGAGACAGAGAAGAAAAGGAGGCUCCAUUUUUCAGGCUGCUCUCCCGCAGGCUCAUGUUUUGUGUUCAUGCCAGGCAGAGAACACAAAAUGUUCCAAUAAAUAAGUAUCAAAGGUUAGUGGUGAAAAUGAAGGAGGAGGAGGCAUUGCGUGAAAAACUAAACAUGCAAAAUAUUACACACAAAGAGAACCAAAAUGCAGGUUCACUGGAAAUGAUAGACAAUAUGUUAAAACAAGAGGAGAGAAGAGAGCUGAAAUAAUCAAAUGGAAACACACAAUUUAGGGCUAAGAUCUUGUUGUGUUCAGCCACAAAUGAUGGCCAGCAGUGAGGAAUCUGUGUGUUCUCCACACUCUUCGCUCCUGGGAAGUCAACUCACAUGGACCAUGAUAUCAAUAUCUGCUCCUUCCCCUAAUAUCUGUUUGACCUUGGGUCAGUUACUUAAACUUCCUAAGCCUUAGUUUCUUUGUCUGGAAAAUAGGGAUAGUUAUACCUACCACACAACCACUUUGUAAUGAAUAUGUUGGAAAUUAUAUGCAAAUUGGCUUCCGUUGGUGUUUGGAACAUAGUAGGUUUUUAACUGGAAUAUAAUAGCUACCAUUAUCAGUAUCAUCAUAUUAAUUUAUAUUUCCAUCUUCAGCCCUUAACCCAGGAUCUUCAGUAAAUGUUGAAUUCUCAAAUUUGUUAAAUUCACUUGUCUAUACUAAUAUUUUACUCUAGGUUUCUUAGAAUAUUCUAGAUAAUAUUAUUAUGUAGAAUAUGUUAUGUAAGCUUCAUCUUAUCUGUAAAUAUAGUUUUACUUUUUCCUUUCUAA
ensembl:lncRNA CCDC26 CCDC26 long non-coding RNA